AACGCACCUUGCGCUCCUUGGUAUUCUGAGGAGCAUGCCUGUUUGAGUGUCAUGAAAUGCUCAACUGCUUUAGCUUUUGUGGUUGAAGUAAAGUUGGAUUUGGAGGAAUAAUUGCUGGCGUAACCUUUUAAGGUUGCUUGUUAGCUCCUCUUAAAUGGAUGAACUUUCCAGUAGUGUAAAAGUAACACCAAUGUGAUAAUUAUCUACGUUGGAUGAACUUGUACAAGGAAGGAUGAAUCUGUCUUGGGGACCCCCUUGACAAAACAAAUGACAAAUUUGACCUCAAAUCAGGUAGGAUUACCCGCUGAACUUAA
rnacentral:misc_RNA from 2 species